GUAGGUGGCAAGUGUUGUCCGGAAUUAUUGGGCGUAAAGCGCGCGCAGGCGGUUCUUUAAGUCUGAUGUGAAAGCCCACGGCUCAACCGUGGAGGGUCAUUGGAAACUGGAGAACUUGAGUACAGAAGAGGAAAGCGGAAUUCCACGUGUAGCGGUGAAAUGCGUAGAGAUGUGGAGGAACACCAGUGGCGAAGGCGGCUUUCUGGUCUGUAACUGACGCUGAGGCGCGAAAGCGUGGGGAGCAAACAGGAUUAGAUACCCUGGUAGUCCACGCCGUAAACGAUGAGUGCUAAGUGUUAGGGGGUUUUCCGCCCCCCUUAGUGCUGCAGCUAACGCAUUAAGCACUCCGCCUGGGAGUACGGCCGCAAGGCUG
rnacentral:rRNA from 1 species